rnacentral:rRNA from 1 species
UACGGAGGGUGCAAGCGUUAUCCGGAUUCACUGGGUUUAAAGGGCGCGUAGGUGGGUUGGUAAGUCAGUGGUGAAAUCCCCGAGCUUAACUUGGGAACUGCCAUUGAUACUAUCAGUCUUGAAUACCGUGGAGGUCAGCGGAAUAUGUCAUGUAGCGGUGAAAUGCUUAGAUAUGACAUAGAACACCAAUUGCGAAGGCAGCUGGCUACUCGGAUAUUGACACUGAGGCACGAAAGCGUGGGGAUCAAACAGG